GAUGAACGCUGGCGGCGUGCCUAAUACAUGCAAGUCGAGCGAACGGACGAGAAGCUUGCUUCUCUGAUGUUAGCGGCGGACGGGUGAGUAACACGUGGAUAACCUACCUAUAAGACUGGGAGAACUUCGGGAAACCGGAGCUAAUACCGGAUAAUAUUUUGAACCGCAUGGUUCAAAAGUGAAAGACGGUCUUGCUGUCACUUAUAGAUGGAUCCGCGCUGCAUUAGCUAGUUGGUAAGGUAACGGCUUACCAAGGCAACGAUGCAUAGCCGACCUGAGAGGGUGAUCGGCCACACUGGAACUGAGGCACGGUCCAGACUCCUACGGGAGGCAGCAGUAGGGAAUCUUCCGCAAUGGGCGAAAGCCUGACGGAGCAACGCCGCGUGAGUGAUGAAGGUCUUCGGAUCGUAAAACUCUGUUAUUAGGGAAGAACAUAUGUGUAAGUAACUGUGCACAUCUUGACGGUACCUAAUCAGAAAGCCACGGCUAACUACGUG
rnacentral:rRNA from 1 species